rnacentral:rRNA from 1 species
UACUCCUACGGGAGGCAGCAGUGGGGAAUAUUGGACAAUGGGUGAGAGCCUGAUCCAGCCAUGCCGCGUGAGUGAAGAAGGCCUUAGGGUUGUAAAGCUCUUUCAACGGUGAAGAUAAUGACGGUAACCGUAUAAGAAGCCCCGGCUAACUUCGUGCCAGCAGCCGCGGUAGCGGUAAUACGAAGGGGGCUAGCGUUGUUC